UUGGGCACUCUAGAGGGACUGCCGGUGAUAAGCCGAGAGGAAGGUGGGGAUGACGUCAAGUCCUCAUGGCCCUUACGGGCUGGGCUACACACGUGCUACAAUGGCGGUGACAAUGGGCAGCGAACCCGCGAGGGUGAGCUAAUCUCCAAAAGCCGUCUCAGUUCGGAUUGCACUCUGCAACUCGGGUGCAUGAAGUUGGAAUCGCUAGUAAUCGUGGAUCAGAACGCCACGGUGAAUACGUUCCCGGGCCUUGUACACACCGCCCGUCACACCAUGGGAGUUGGUUUUACCCGAAGGCGCUGCGCCAACCCGCAAGGGAAGCAGGCGACCACGGUAGGGUCAGCGACUGGGGUGAAGUCGUAACAAGGUAGCCGUAGGGGAACCUGCGGCUGGAUCACCUCCUUUCUAAG
rnacentral:rRNA from 1 species